rfam:TPA: Bos taurus chromosome 28, whole genome shotgun sequence.
UCCCUGGUGGUCCAGUGGUUAGGACUUGGCACUUUCAGUGCAAAGGGCCCAGGUUCAAUCCCUGGUUGGGGAA